AUGCGUAGAGAUAACACGCCACCUGACUCGAAAGUGAGUUGGGGUGACCAGUAUGUUUGGGGUGACCAGUAUGUUUACGCAAAAGUCAUGAUGUCAUGUUGAACAGGGUAAUAUAAUAGCGACAUGGCUACAGGUUCCCAUGUUUUGUCUGCUUGAACUAGUUGUGCAAGUUAUCUGGUCAUUUACUUUUUACGCAGCACUUAGCUUGGCGAUUUUGGUAUUUCGUUCCCACUGCGUCUUAGCUCGGGACCGGACCCUACUACUUUGACAAUAUUUUUUACCUUAUUGUGGACCUGAAUGUGUCCUCUUGGCCUGUGCAGAUUGUGCACCAUUUGCAAGAACAGGAUGGAGGGAAGCAACCUGGAAGAAUACCACAAACUGAAGAGGCGAGGAAGAGUCAGCUUUGAUUACAGAGUGGAUAAUGAGGCAAAAGUGGCUUGUGCAGCUGCGAGUCCAGUGAAAGAAGUGAGGCGGUUCUCUAAAGAACAGAAGAAAUGAGUUGGUGACCAGUCCAAACACUGACACACAAUACAAUGUCCACAUGGGAGGAGUAGACCUGGCCGACAUAAUGGUGGCCUUACUGUACCCCUGCAAAAUCCCAUCGGUGGUACAUGAGUUUGUUUUUGCAGAUGGCUGAUAUAGCCCUAAACCAGGGGUAGGCAAGUUUGGUCCUAGAGAGCCACUGUCCUGCAGAAUUUAGUUCCAACCCUAAUCAAACACACCUGAACAAGCUAAUCAAUGUCUUCAGGAUUAUUAAGGCUAUAGGUGAGGAGCCAAACUCUGCUGGAGAGCGGCUCUUGAGGACCAAACUUGCCUGCCCUAAACUAUGGAUGGCUUCUUUAUUGCAGAGAUGCAAAGAGUCUGGGUGAGGUAAAGCAAAAGAAGCUGAAGACAUUCAGGCUGGAAGUUGCAAAUGCACUCAUUCAUGCUGGAAAAAUGAAGGGAAGGCCCUCAAAGCUGAGAGAGGAUGAUGUUCCCACCAAAUACAUCGAGCGGCCAGCAACACCAAGACCAGUGGAAGACAUCCGGGCUGAAAAAUGACCCUUUUCUUGGACAAACAAACCAGGAGAGCUUUGUACCUGGCGGCAGCUGCACACUUGAUUCACCAUUACAGAUGAACCAAUGGGAAACCCGGCCGGCGGCAUUCGAGAACACAUCUACAGGCUACUGUUACGUUUUUCAUGUUGGUCUGUCCACAGAAUGCUCAAUGACCAGGUUGCCUGGUAACAGAAGAAACCUUGUUCUCGCAGUGUUGCUGAAACUACUUGUGUAUAAGCAUCAAACACAAUCAACAGAUGGUGGAUUUCAUCUGGUCUUGUUUCACACAUUCUUUUCUACCUAAUUACGUAUGUUUGCAGCUGUACUGAUUAAUCAGGCUUGUGUUUCAGGUCAGCAACUUUCGACAGGUUAGAGGAAACAGGCUCCUAAUUGCUUGAGGGGAAAUGAAAAAUGGCCAUCUUUUAUGUUCCCGAAAAAACAUCGCUGCAGCUCCAUCCUUCAUUGCCGUCCAGCUGUUUUUCUGUCUACAGAUUUUCACAAUGUUGAGAUGUAUGAAGACCAGUGAAGAUCAUGGAGAAGGGGAGUUAUGUUAACACUACGUCUAAUCUAGGGAUAUCAAUCUAAACUUCUGAUGUAUGAGUUUCUGAGGGAACACAUCCGACGCAAGUCAGACGGCGUGUCCCGCGAGGAGAUAAACACGGCGGACUGUGUUCAGAUCACUGAGGGGAGGAGCUAAGCUUAUAAAGCGGAGUCUGUCAGCAGUUGUGGGCGGGGCCUACACAUUUACGUUAUCGCAAAAGGAGCAGGUUCCCCCGGAGCAGAAACCGGAAUGGUUGUGGCCCGAUCAUCGGCUGGAACCAUAUAUAUACGUCCGAUGUUUCCACCCGAACCCCUUUUGAUGGUGCACCAGCUCACAGGACUCAGACGCUGACGAACAAACAAAAAGAACGGGGCAGAUAUCAACUACUGAAGACUUGGAAAAAUAAUUAUACGUGUUUUGGCUUUCCUGUUGGUGCCUGGAGCGAUUGCGGCUGCACAGAGGUGUUGCCCGUGUUUUAUUUUUCCCAAUGAUUGCCAAAGGCCUCGGCUCUGUUCUUAGGACUCCUGUAUCCCUACAGGAUCCAUACAGGCUUGUAGUCUAAAAGAGACUUUGUGAUGUUCAAAUACACAGACCUACCGCCAUCAAGCCGCACUUUCUAUCCAUCUUGUGAUAUAAUGUGUCGAAGGAAGGUGCAGGUUUCUCUAAUGAAUAGGCUGCCAGACUGCAGAUUGUUGGCUCGCAUCUCUCCAUCUCUGGCACUCACGAUUGCUGGCCAGACUCGCUUGACCUGGCAGAACCUUGGAGACCCCAGCUGUCAAUGUUGGCUCCUGCAGACACCCUGCAUUGUCCAGGCCUCCAUGCCCUUUAAAAUGAAACCUUUGAGAAGAACGGGCCUAGCUGUGUGCGCUCAGCAGAAAAUGAGGCCCAGUUAUCACCCUGCACUAACAUAAGGGCACUUAUAACCUUUUUUUUUUUUUUACGUUUAGUUUAAAGUUAAAAUCACUGCAGUCCUGGAAAAAAAUCCUCGGUUCAGUCUUUUAUAUUAGCUCAGUCAUAUUCAGUGAGAUCAGAGAAUAUGCUGCUAUUACUACUUCCAAAGUUUCAGUCUAUUCUUCUGCAAACUUUCAGACACAAAUAAUCUGCCAGGUUUUGAGAAAUGGCUUGUUAUUUACUUUAAUCACCAUAGCUUUGCACAGAAAACUCAGGCACUGCUCACCAUGAGUUUUGCCUCUGGGCAGCUUGUGAAGAACUCCAGAGGAAUUCCUUUAUUAUUUCUAAGUAAGAGUCAGUUUGUGCCUCGACUUUAAACUCCUCAGCUCUGUUUUGGUGGCCCUGCACAAUAUGUUUGGCAUAUUAAGCCAUAUAUAUAUAUAUAUAUAUAUAUAUAUACAGUAUAUGCUGAUAUGUCAGCAAAAAUAUAUCUGCCAUAUGGAAGAAGAGUUCGAGGUUGAGUAGAGCAGAAAUUAUGUAAGCUUGUUUCCGCCACAGAAUCAAAAAUAAAAAGGUAAUUGCGACUUUUUAUCAGAAUUGCGUGA